AAUUAACGCUGGCAGAGUGCAUAACACAUGCAAGUCGAGCGGAACUGUUUGAGAUUACAUCAAGGGCAGUUUUAGCGGCAGACGAGUGAGUAACACGUAAGCAAUCUACCCUCGAAUGGCGAAUAAACUAAUCCGAAAGGAAUAGCUAAUGCGCCGUACCUCUCCUUGGAAGGCAUCUUCCGAGGAGGAUAGACCAGCAAUGGUCGUUCAAGGAGGA
rnacentral:rRNA from 1 species